CAGCAGCUGACGCCUGACACACACCUGAGAGCUGAAGGGAAGUCAAACCAUUUCGGGGAAAUGACUCUGUGGCACUGACAGGUUUUACUCGAUGGUAACAAACCAAGAGAACCAACAGAAGCCUGCACCAAUGGUGGAAACGACGAGCACCUAACUUGUUGACUCGCAUCGCAAAGGCUAACAGAUCCUCAUGAGCGUCUUUCACCUGCUGAGGCCACAGAGAGGAUCAGUUCCUGUGUAAUUUGGUCUUCAAAAUGUGCAAUGGCCAGAGAAAUACCCAAUCGAUUGUUCGCUUUGCUGAAUGAGCUUUUUCAAAAUGCUUCUUUGUUUCUUGACGAAUACAAUGAAAAUGUACAAAGAAUGAGAGCUACUCUAAAUGAGCUUCAGACGAUCACUGCUGAGGCCAACAGGCUACAGGAUGAAACCAAACAGUCGACUGCAGCAGGGUUCAGUGUUGGAGGGUUUGGAGCGGCUAUAGCACUCGCUGCAGCGGGUGCAGCCGGAGCAUCAGCGUCACUUGAAGCCAAAGCUGGAGGAGGGGUGAUGUCAGUGGCAUCAAUAACUUCUGCGGGAUUUUUUUUUUUACAAAGCUUGGCAAGCAAAUACAAAGAAGACCUUGGAGGAAAGAGAUCUGAAGAAUCGUGCAAAGCAGUUGGGUGAAACGUUCAUGGACCUUGUCACAAGACAGAAGAACGCUCUGGAGGACAUAAAGAGAGUGUCGGAUCGGUUGAAUCAAGCAACAUCCGUGCUGAGCACGAGAGCUGGAGAACAAGCGGAAAUAAGUUUUUCCAAAAUCUGUGAGUUUGAGAAACUUCUGGAGUUCCCAGAGAACGUAAACACCAUCGACUGUAUAAACAAGUUAGCUAAGCAGGGAAGGACGGUGUUGGAGGAGCUGGACAAAAUGACAGGCCACCUCAAAGACCUCGACGACAACUAGUUUCCAGAGUGAUGUGAGAUUCCUGCUGUUAGAGAAGUUUGACAAAAGUUGAUAAAAACACACAGAGCGAUAGCAAACAUUGAGAGAACAGACAGAAGUCAAGACAGUCACAGACUGAUGAUGGAAAUCGAAAUAGACUAUUAUUAAGAAGAUGCAGUGCCUUACAGCAGGGGAGCUCAAUCCUGUUCCUGGAGAGUCCCUAUCCAGCAUGAUUUUUUUUGAGAAAAGCCACAAAAACGACAUUUAAACCUCAAAUAUCUUGCCCCAUAAUGCAUUGUGGCACCACCACUAUGGCAUCCACCACUACAAUACUAAUAAUAUAUGUGCUUCGUUUUCUAUAAAUAAUCUGCACUGGAAGAGCAGAUAAACAGCUCGGAGCAUGUGAAGCGUUGCCUGGAGGAGGCGGGUCUUCGAGAUUUCUCCAGUCACUGGUUAACAGUAUACACGAAUGACAUGAAAUUAAACCAGCCAGCGCCGUUGAAUGGCUGCGGAUUGAGGCGAAUUUGAGUUCUCCCAUCCCGAUCUGGUUUACCAAUGCACUGAAAUUGAAGAACGAUGAAGCGCUCCACCUCAUAAACUUUUCCAGGCGUGACUGUAGUGCUUCCAUGUGCCCACAAGGGGGGGGCAGGACAUAUAAAUAUACCCGUAAAAAAAAGCACUCAAAACCGACUGCAAAGAGAUAUGUAUAUAUAAAAUGAAAGACUUACAGAAGACAGCAAAAUGAGUGAUGCAAAGCGGCCUCGCUAAGACACAAAGCUGCUUUAAAAAUAUACAAAAACGAUCCACGACAGCCACUCCGCGCAGAAGAUAAUUUAGUAAGGCAAAACUACAAUGAUUCAGGCUUUCUGAAAGAAAAGUUUUUAUAUUUUGCUUUUUGUUUAAAUGGACUUUGCACAAAUGUUUCCAAAAGUUAAUGUAUUUGGUGGAAUGUUCUUUUAUUUUCUGUUGAGAUAUUGUUAAAUCAUUGCAUUCCUUGCUGCUGGUUUGUAUCAAAGAGUCUUGAAAACGAUGUAUUCUUGAGAGAAAUUCAGUUUUCCAUUAAUUUUGGCUGUACAAGUGUCUUGCACAUAAAACUUAACAUCUCUUCAGGAGGUAAACUUUACAUUGUGAAAAAAAAUGAACUUUGGUUGGUGGAGUCAGAUGUAAAAACUUUGUUGUUAUGCUCAUUUAUGGGUUGUACAAACGUUCAUUCUUCGCUCUCUUCAAAUAAACCAUCAUCUAAA